AACACCCCUCAAGCUCAGCUUGGUGUUGGGCGCCCGUCGCGCAGCGACGCGCCCGAAAUGAACUUUGGCUGCGGGGUCCGACUCCGAGCGCUGCGAGGCGUACCAACGUCAUGCGCUGUGGAGGUAGGAUUCGGCCGGCCAGCAAACAACAAAGCGAGCCGCUUGCGGAUCGCUCCUC
rnacentral:misc_RNA from 1 species